UACGUAGGGCGCAAGCGUUGUCCGGAAUUAUUGGGCGUAAAGAGCUCGUAGGUGGCGUGUCGCGUCUGCCGUGAAAGCCCAUGGCUUAACUGUGGGUCUGCGGUGGAUACGGGCAGGCUAGAGGCUGGUAGGGGCAAGCGGAAUUCCUGGUGUAGCGGUGAAAUGCGCAGAUAUCAGGAGGAACACCGGUGGCGAAGGCGGCUUGCUGGGCCAGUUCUGACGCUGGAGGAGCGAAAGCGUGGGGAGCGAACAGG
rnacentral:rRNA from 1 species